UGCGGCCCCCGCCAGCGCCGCUUCGUCUGCGGUCCCCGCCAGCGCCGCUUCGUCUGCGGUGCCGACCAGCGCCGCUUCGUCUGCGGUCCCCGCCAGCGCCGCUUCGUCUGCGGUGCCGACCAGCGCCCUUCUGCAUGGUACCUCGCCUGAUGUAGCCACGCAGGGCGGAGAGUGGAGGGGAUUGUGUUUAUCUAUUGGUCAUCAUGCAUCAGCAGUGUGCGUCCAUCUUGUGCUCCACUGACCUAGGCGCAGUUCCAUGCUGUUCAUUGCCAUGCAGUCCCAUGUUCAAUCCACUCCUGUUCGUCUCCUCAGUCACCCGGAGACCUUGGCCUACUCCUGGUCCUCUACGCCCGCCAGCGCCUCUUCGUCUGCGGCCCCCGCCAGCGCCGCUUCGUCUGCGGUCCCCGCCAGCGCCGCUUUGUCUGCGGUGCCGACCAGCGCCCUUCUGCAUGGCACCUCGCCUGAUGUAGCCACGCAGGGCGGAGAGUGGAGGUGAGCUAUUACUGAUUAGUUUUGUCCAGGUAAAUUUAGAGUAAUCAUACACUCACUUUCUGUCUUUUUGUUAUUUUUGUCAUUGUGUGUCAGACAACUUCACCGAUAACACUGAUACAAUUAUUUUUAGGGAACCUGCUUCUUGUGUUCUCAACUUGUUUCUUUGUUGAAUCAUUUCUCCAUCAUUAUCUUUCUGGACCCAUUUAUAUGAUUUUUUUCUGAAACUGGAUUGCUCUAUUCCAUUGAGUGUACCUAUUGCAAUGCAACUUUGUGCCUACAUAACUCAGCUGUAGGGUGAUACUUGUGCAGUUCAUUAUCUGGAUGUCAUGUGCCGUUUGUAUUAAUUGUCUGCAGGUGAUGAAAGUAUCUUCCAGCGGCCAGUUUAUUAGAUGCGACGAGUCUCUCUCUCUCUCUCUCUCUCUCUCUCUCUCUCUCUCUCUCUCUCUCUCUCUCUCUCUCUCUCUCUCUCUCUCUCUCUCUCUCUCUCUCUC
rnacentral:lncRNA from 1 species